UACGGAGGGUGCAAGCGUUUAUCCGGAUUUACUGGGUUUAAAGGGUGUGUAGGCGGGUCUUUUAAGUCAGUGGUGAAAUCUCCGAGCUCAACUUGGAAACUGCCAUUGAUACUAUUGAUCUUGAAUUUUGUUGAGGUAGGCGGAAUAAGUCAUGUAGCGGUGAAAUGCAUAGAUAUGACUUAGAACACCAAUUGCGAAGGCAGCUUGCUAAACAAAUAUUGACGCUGAGGCAUGAAAGCGUGGGGAUCAAACAGG
rnacentral:rRNA from 1 species